GCAUAUUAGUAGGCGGUGGAAGAUAAUCCAAAAGGGAUUCCUUCAGUAAUGGCGAAUGAACGGGGAAUAGCUCAGCAAAGAAAUCGAGGACUCCGGCCUUGAGUUGUGGACUUGAGAGGUAUCGCCAAUGGUGGCACAGGUGGGGGCCUCUUGGAAAAGGGCACCACAGAGGGUGUGAGUCCUGUUUGCCAUCUGUAGUCCGCCGUGUACGGCAUGCCUCCUCAGAGUCACGUUCCUUGGAAUUGGAGCGCGAAGGUGGUGGUGGCUUUCAUCUCAAGCUAAGUAUGGGUUCGAGACCGAUAGCAAACAAGUACCAUGAGGGAAAAUUGAAAAGAGCUUUGGAAAGAGAGUUAAAAGUGCCCGAACUUGCUGAUAGGGAAGCGAAGGGAGCUGACGUUGCUUGGUAACAUCUUCUACGCAAGACUAGGAUGGGUUCUGAUUGCAAUGUGUGUAGUGUUUCUUGCCGUGCGUGUCGAUGCCAAGCAAUGAGUGGGGAGAGCUCCAGGGAUAUGAUUGUUUCUGUCUCCGGGCAGACGAAGGUGCCUGGUUGCAUCCAUUCGUGGGCUGAAAAAUUGGUGGCUGGUCGCAGCACUCCCUUGCCACUCAAGGCAAUUGGAGUGUAGCCCUGACAUGCAGACGAGGACAAAGUGCUUCUGUUCGACCCGUCUUG
rnacentral:rRNA from 1 species